AGAAGAUAAAUCUUCUUUCCUUUUUUUCUCUCUUAUUCUUAUUUUCUUCUGCUUCUUCUUCUUUUGCUAUGUUCGUCCUUCUUUGCGAGUUUGAGAGUUAGUCAGAGAGAGAGACUAUCGUUGAGUUAGAGGAGAUGAAUUAAAAGAUGUUACUGAUGUUAAUGAAGAGAUGGGAGUGGUGUUGAUUCUUGGUUAUCGAUUGAAGAAGCUAGGGUUUCUGAAUCCGGUGUUGAGAUUCGAUUAAAUAUGAAUUAUGGAGUUAUUGUUGAUGAAGAUUCAUGGGUAGUUGCUAGAUUGAAGUCGUAGUGUUUCUUUGAAGAAGAACCGAGGUAUUAGUGAUUCUGUGAAGAGUUAGGGUUUUACUGGAAUUGCAGAGAGGAUUCGAAAGAUGAAAUUGAUACUCUAGAAGACUAACUGAAGAUGAAGAAUGAUUGGGUUAGUGUUUAAUUUGUUGAUGGGUAAUUGUUCAAUGAAGAGCUGAAGAACUAGGGUUUCUUAAGAUGAACUCAGAUAAGAUACGGAAGAUGAAAUUGAUGUUCUGGAAGAUUAAUUAGAGAUGGGGUUUGACGGGAAUUUGAGUAUUGGUUGGAUCUGAAGUUCAAUUGCAUGUUUUGUUGAAGGUGGAAGUGAAUUAUAGUUUCAGUAGAACUGAUCCGGUAAUUGGCAAUUCUGAGGAUGCUAAAUCUUGGGUAAAUCUCUAAUUGUUUCAAUUCUGGUAUUUUGAAUUGAGUUGAUUAAAGUAUUCAGUUUAUUUGAUUGAGAAUAAAACCAGAAUUGAGAUCAAUGUAGAAUGGAGUUGUAAUUGUGGUUCAGUGUUGUGGUUGUGGUGAUUCUGAAGUUGCACAUAUGAAUAAUUGUGGAAGGAGGUGGCUGUGAGGACAUUGCUGCUGGUUUUGUGGAGUGCAAGGAAGAACUCAUAGUGGUUCUUGGAUUGACUGUGUUGAGCUAAGGUGCAUAAUUUUAUAUGAGUUGAAGGUAUUUGUGUGUUUGAGUUGAGAGAAUGAGAAGAAGUGGAGAUGUGUAUUGCUGUAAUGGUGGUGUUUUCUGUGUUGUUGAAUUUGCAGAUGAAGAAAAUUGAGAAUGGGUGGAGCUAUAGAUGAAUUUCAGAUUCUGGGAGUUGUAAAUGAAAUUAAAUUGGUAGUGUUGUUGGAAUGAGAAGUGUGAUGGUUUGGUACUUCUAAUGAAGGGUAUAUGGUUGUGAGCUGAAUUAGUGGUUUAGAGGACUUGUAUUGAUGAAGCUGGGGUUUAUCUUAGUUUAUUAGUGAUUAUAGAAUUAUAGAUUGUAUUCCGGUGAAAGCUUGGGAGCUUGGAACUGUGUUUGCAGUUAGUUAUUAACAACGAUCGAUUCAAAGGAUGAACAAGAGGAUCGUGGAUCUUGAGGUAGGCGUGUCUUGUCAUCAAAAGAGUUUCAGAGACAGAUCAGAGUUGCGUAUUUGAAGCUUCGAGGAGUUGACUCCGUUAAUUAUUUGAAUAUUGCUAUGUCUAUUAUAUUGUAUAUUUUAUUUGCAAACCAAAUGACUAUUGUAUAUGUAUCAUUCGAGAGGAGUUCUUGUAUAUAUAUUUCUGAGCAGGCUAAUUUUGGGUUAAGUUUGUAGCAGAUUUCUUAAUUGAAUGUUUAAGUAAAUGAUUUAGAUUUUUAGUGCC